CGGAGCUCGGCGGUCGGGCGCCCGUCCCGGUGGAGCAGGGACCGUGGCCGCGCGGUGUCCCGGCGCAGGUGCCGAGCCGCGGAGACGCCCCUGCUCGCUCCACCUUGGCCGUGACGGCGUCCUCGGUUCAUUUAGGAAAAAGACCCCCAGACUUGCAGGUGUCCACGGAGGGGUCCCAGCUCCCAGGACGUCGGAAAGGUGGGACUGCCCCCCGCCCCGGGCCCGGGCUCCCCUCCGGGAAACGGGGCGGUGCGAGCGGCCUCCCCCGAGCGCCCGUGGGGAGCAGGGCUGCGGACGGACGGCGGCCCCGACUCUGAACCCGCUCGGCGUGGGGUCCCUGCAGGAGGCUGAGACCGCGGGCCUGUCGGAGCGCGUGGGAGGCCCGCCGUCUGCGGCUCCCCGCGCCUUCCCGGGGCUGAGCCGCCCGAGGGGGGCCCUUCAACCUGAGCAGCAUCUUCGGGGAGGAGGCUGUCAAGACUUCUGUCCCAGAGCUCUGCAGUAACUGCCGUUAACGUGAGGGUGAUGAGAGCUGGCUCCGCCCCGUGAUUAGUGGCGCAUACUGGAGAACAGAGGCUGCCAGAAGCUGGAAUCCACGACCCUGGAAGGGAGCAGGUUAAUCCCCGCUUGGCGUCUGAGCCUGUACUGUUUACCUCGCACUCGACUCUAAUCUGUGAGUUGAUUGUCAGCUUCAGUUUCCUGGGAGAGCACACAGCCUUAACCUGAAGUGGACCCUAACCAUGGAGAAGUCCUGCGGAAGCCAAUGGGAUGGCACAGUCAUCUCAACCCUGAGAGAAAAACGGUCCUUCCAGCCAGGGGAGGCAGGAGGAUGCGACCCUCUCUGAAGAACGUGGAGGGAAUCCGUGUUUAUUGUUUCUCUCCUCAUUUUGCCUGAGGGCAGUUCCUUUUGGCAAAAUCAUGGGGCAUGUCGGCGGGUAACAACCAGAGAGAAACCGAGACUUUCUAACCAGAGCACCAGGAAAAGAGACCCCAGGGGGCCAGAGAGCCCGGGAGUCAUCCUGGAGAGGAGAGGCCUGGAAAGCGGCUCACCAUUCUGUGUACGAGCAGACACACGUGCCCAGCGCUGCAUGUGCAAGGCAGAGCAGAAGCACGUUCGAAAUGAAUCGACACUGGAACUGCCACCAACAGAGAAAGACGGGGCUGCUGUCAGAGGAUAACCAGCGCAAGUCUGCUGAAGCACAACUAAACAUGCCCCAGAGAAUUCUUUAGAAUUUUAGCACACAGGGUCUCCCAGCAUAAACAGACAGUCCUUGCUUUGCACAGCAGGACAGACCGUAAAAAUGGCCGUGCCAGCUGAAACUGUGCCCUGCAGCCAUAAUAACCACUGGGUAAAGUUAGGAUUUUCUGUGACUUUUAGAAAUUUUCAUCAAAACAUCAAAAACUCAUAUUGUCGGUUAUAAAUGUGUGAGGAAAUGAGCAAAAUAGUAAAAUUAAUAUUUAUUUUGUACAUUGCAAUCAAAAACAUUAGUAACACAAGAUUAAACUGUUUUCAGUCUUCGUGAAAAACUCACCGAGUCAUGUGAACGGCACCUGCCUUCGUAAGUGGUAUAACUUACUUCACAACUCAUCGUACUCCUUUCUAAGUUUGCAUCAGCUUCCAACGUUUUCUCCUUUGUGCUUCUAAUGUCAUGAAAUAUCUCCAGGUUCCUUUAAUGGGAGUUUUUUUGCCGGUGUCCCUUCCUCUGGGACAUCUUCGUCCUUUUUGUCACAACCACUUUGCUCACUUGUUUGAUAAAUUCACUUUACUCGGUUCCUUUGACAGCACGUCUCGACUGUCUGGCUCGUGCAGUUGCUCUGUCUUUGAUGACCCCAUUUAUGUUUGCUUUGAAUUUCACUCUCAUUGUUUCCAGCUUCCAUUUCUUCGCUGCACUUUCAUCCUUGUUGGCCAAUGCCCUCUUUGGAUGACCACUUUUGUAAACUGUCAUGUGGGUUUAUCACUGGAGACAAGGAGGCAACGCAACCACAUGCUUUGCUGUCUGUGCACAUGAGCUAAGAGGCGUGCAGUGCCCAGUCACCGACAGACUCUGCAAGAAGUGCUGUCAUCAGUCACCGAGCACGAUGCCAUCUGCUGUUCACGUGUGAUGGGUGGAGUGGGGCCACCCACACAGUUUCAGCGAGACAGAACUUCAUGCAAUUACUCACAGUUACUACACUGAGGUAACCAAAAUUUGAUCUGUGGUGUUGGGGAACUGUGUCGACUAAAUUGGUAACUGAAAAUUCAGAAUCAUAAAGUGUCGUUUCUACCAUAUGCUGCUCAUUAGACGUGAAUCCCUAGUUCUGGCUCACUCUCAAGAGGAGGGGAACUAGGCUCCAGCUUUUGAAGGGAGGAUUGUCAGUGGAUUUGUGGACGUAUUUUAGAACUACCAAAGAAUAUUUGCCAAGAAGAUUUGCACUGAAUAUACAGUUCUGGAUUGAUGGUUCUUUCCUGUUAACACUUUAAAGAUAGUGAUUCACUCUGUUCUGGCCACUGGAUUUUUGAUUCGAUUUUGGCCGUUAUCUGUAAUUCAAAUUGUUGUUCCCUGCAUUGAGUGUGGUGUUUUUUUCCUGGCUGCUUUCAAGGUUUUUUAUCUCUGAUUUUCAGCAGUUUGAUUAUAAUAUCCUGGGCAUCUUGUUUGGAUGUUGCAGCAUUUCUUGAACCUGUAAAUUUAUAUUGUUCACCAAAUUUAGGAAAUUUUCAGUAAUUAUUCCUCCAAAACAUUUUUUCCCACUUCAUUUCCCCCUCCCCUUUCUGUGACCCAAUGAUGACUUUUUAGGCCUUUUGAUGUUGCCUCUCAGAUUCCUGAAGCUCCCUUCAUUUUGUUCUGUCCUUUAUCUCAGCAUUCCUCAGAAUGGUUAAUUUCUAUUGAUCUGUGUUCAAGUCACGGAGUCUUCUGUUAUUUCCAUUGUGCUAUGAAGCCCAUCCCUUACCUUUUUUUAAAUUUCAGAAAUUAUAUUUUUCAGUUCUAAAAUUCCCACUUGGAAUCUUUAUAGCUUCUAUGUCUCUGCCAAGAACUUCUAUCUUUCUAUUCAUCUUAUGAGCAUGGUUAUAAUAGCUGCUUUCAAAUUUUGUCUGAUGAUCCAACAACUGGGCCAUUUUUGGCUUGACACAUAUUGAUUGCCUUUUCCCAUAUGAAUAGGUCAUAUUUCCCUGAGUCCUCGGGUGUCCAAUAAUUUUGUAUUGUAUCCUGGACAUUUUGAAUGUUAUGUUGUCAGACUCUGCAAUCUGUUGAAAUCCUGUGGAGAGCACUGAUUUUAAGCAGGCAGUCACUCCCCUUAGGCUCAGACUGCAACUCUCUCUCCUGCCGUGGGUGGUGGUUCCAACACAGCUCAGGUUUCAAAGCUUUUGUUCACCUCUGUGGGACUGUCCAUGCGUGUGCGGCUUCAGCUGAGCCCACGACUUGAGCCAGUUCAUGUGCAGAGGCAGGUCCCCUCUCCAGCACUUUCUCUAAGGUUUCCCAACACACACUGCUUGGCUUACAGGAACUUCUCAGAGUUUUUGUUGCCAAUCCUGCCUUUCUAUAGGACCAGGACUGGAGUCUCCCUUGAGCAGAGCUGAGAAAGAAAAAGCAGCAAGAUGUAUCUAUACAGCAGGCCCCCUUAUCCACGGGGCAUACAUUCCAGGACCCCCAGUGGUUGCCUGAAACUACCGAUAAUAGGGAACCCUAUAUACACUGUCUUUUUUCCUAACUAAUGGGCUAACGGGUAGGUAGCACAUAGAGUGUGGAUCUGCUGGACAAAGGGGUGUUUCACGUCCCGGGCAGGACAGAGCCAGACAGCGAGAGAUGACAUCACACGACUCAGAAUAGUGUGCAAUUUAAAACUUAUGAAUUGUUUAUUUCUGGAAUUUGCUAUUUAAUAUUUUUGGAGCACAGUUGAUCAUGGGUAACUGAAACUGUGGAGAGUGAAACUAAGGAUAAGGAGGGGCUGCCACAUACGUCUUCAUAUCUAUGCCCAUGUCUACAUCUGCGUCUGUACCAUCUGUAUCAAAUGCCAUGUCUCUCUCUCUCUAUUUUGUGAGAGAACACACAGGGAUUUCCCCCUGCAAUCUCUUUGGCUCAUAGGGACCCUUUUUCCUGGUCCUCUGGGCAGAAGGAGAGGGCUUUUCUUGGAGUUUCUGGUGCGCAUGCCAGCUGGGGAGUUCUCUGACUGGGGCCCCUUUCAUGUCAAAGCUGGAAGAGUUAAGAGAAUAACCUGAGAACCUCACUCUUGCACAGGUCACUUCUGUAAAUUUUGACCCCGCCGCCCAAUUUGCCUACCGUUAUUUACUUUCCAGAGUCUGCAGGGAGUUGAUAUAUAAUUUUGUUCAAAAAUUUCAGCUGUAAUGAGUGGGAGAAAUAGGCUGUAGUGUGUUUGCUCUAUCUUGGCGAGCAUGAGAGGUCCUAAAACUUUUAAAAUCUUAUAAAAUUUGUUUGAGUUUAUUUUAUUUUGGGGAGAAAUCAAAUGUUUUCCCAAGCGGCUUCAGCAUUCUUUUUUCUCUCCUUCUCCAACAACAGGGAUGGUUAGAACAAUUUGUGUGGCAGGUGAAGAAUCCGCGAUGUUAUGGUCUUUUAUAACUAAAUGGGAAACUGCCAACUUUACGUUCACUUCACUUGCUCCCUGGCUCAACAGAACUGAACUUGGGUAUUUCUUAGAGAAGUUUUUUACAUGUCUUUGAUUUCUCAAAGUAUCAUAGUACUGCAUGUUUUAAUCCCAAAUUGGCUUCUUCUGCUAUAUAUUUAAAUUUCAUAUAAUAUAUAUGAAGGUUAACUUGUCACUACCCUCUUUAUUCAAAAUACUAUUUAUAUGAGGCAAAUUUUACUAAGAAAAGGUAUUUUGGAGGAGUUUUUGUAAUCAGCUUAAAACAUGUCUAUUUUCUUUGGUUUAAAUGUAGAGUAAAAAGAUUUAGCUUAUUUCAAUUAAGGAAUCCUUUUAAGCAAAAAGAUUGUUGUAAAAUCAAGCCAAACAAGUAUGCAGGUUUUAAUAAGAAAUGGUUGAUUUUAAAACCUACAUCUUCUAUCUUGCUGCAGUUUAAAGACAGACAGAAUGAUGCAGCCUGUCAGUAAUCCAACACAGGAAAGCGGGUCUGCAGCCUUCGCGGGGUAGGUGCGGGCAACCUGACGUCAGUGAUCCAGCAGAGAAAGCGAGUCUGCGGCCGUCGGGGGUGAGUGCAGGACGUUCUGAUGGCCCUUUUGUAGCCCGAAGGAAGGCAGAAGCAGUUAACCUGUUGCUAAGCAGCAAUGCUUCAGGGACCAGAACCCUUGGAAACCAAAGAGCCGGUAGGGGUAUGGAUUGUCCAAAUUCACAAAGAGAGAGAGGCGGCAGUGUGCACAUGAAUGGAGAUCCGGGAAACCACCUUUGAGAACUAAGCAAAGGCAAUUCAAAUGAGCAUUUGAGAAAUAAACCAAAGACCCAGUUCUCAAUUUCUUCCAUGCACUUAACACACACCGAGCUCUAUGGAGAUCUGCAAGUGUAGGGGCCAGAAGAUUAACCCCCAAGUAGCUUCACCAAAUAUGACAAUAACAAUAAUAAUAAAGUGAAUUUUUAUUAACACACUUAAGGCAUUUUGCCAAAAAUGCUACCUUUCAUAAGUAGUAAGAGAAAAUCAAUGCUAAAAUUUUGCUAAGAGAUUGUUAAGUUUCAAAUUGGAAGGUCAAAGAAUUCAGCAAAAUCAAAUGGGAAGGUUAGCAUUGUUAUAGACUUGAGAAUUGGAUUUUCCCUUAAAUUUUGUUGCUAAUACUAUAGAGAGAAAGUAUUUAAAGAAAAAUAUGAACAUUUCUAUUUUACCUCAGUUAUGAAGAGGUUAAAAUUUCUAUCUCCUUUAUAAAAUCUCAAAUAUGUAAAUAUAGGUUCUUUUCAAGCAGAACCACCACGUGUUCCUUUCCAAAAUAUGUAAGGAACUCAUAGAACUCAACAGCAAACAAUAUAAAUAAAUAACCAAUUAAAGAAAAGGCAAAGGACGUGAAUAGACA